ACCUCCCCCCCCACCUCCAGCCCCCAACUACCUCAUGGAAGGGCUGGUGUUAAGGAACUUGGACCCCAGCAGCAAAGGUUGGAUCCACUGGGCUGCCAUCAAGCAUGUCUUUGGCCAAGCUGUGCCAUGUCUGCACCUGGGAUCUGAACCAGCGAACCCCAGGCUGCCGAGAAGUGGAAUGUGGGAACUUAACUUCUGCGCCACAGGGCUGGCCCCCCUUAUUCAUCUUGAAGUCCUCCGGCUAUGCCUCCAACAAAAGUAGCUGGGAAAUGGCAACAGCUGGAGCAGCUGCCUUGGGCCCAGAUAUGGAGGCCACAUAUUGGGAUGGCAGGCCUGGGCAUUACAUAUCCUGUGGAGAAAGAAAGGGAUGCCUCCAGCUCUGGGCUGCUUAUCUCUGAACUGUUACAUGAGAAGGAAAUAGACUUCUAACUUGGUUGGUCCACUCUAUUUUUUGAUUAUUUUUCAUGGAGCAUUUUGACCUGUAUUCUAACCAAUAUACCAAGGUUGAGAAGAGAGGAGACAUUCGAUAUGUUCUUUAUCAUAUACCAGAAAGUGUAGUAAAUUAAUGAACUCAGUCAUCUUUCUUCUGUAUUUUGGCAGCAGAGGUUUAGGAGGAAAUAAUUCCACAAUUGUAUGGUAACGGUAAAAUCAAAAGAUGUCUUGAUACCUUUAACAUUGGGACUAAUAUAGCUUGCAAAUAAAUUGAACCAGUAUCUCAAGAUGAAAAAUGAGGUUGUAUGUGAAAAUAGAUUGUAUAUGGAAGAAUUUUGUGGACAUAAAGUGUUAGUUACAUAAUAAUUAUUAAUUUAUUGUUAUUAUUCAUUAUUGUUUAUAUUUA
rnacentral:lncRNA from 1 species